UUCAGUAGAAAAACAUUCUCUCAUGAUGGUCUUCAGAUAAUCGUGUGACAACGACGACACUGACUCUACGUAGUUAGAAGAAUUGCUUGAAACGAAAAUCACGAGAACAGAUGGACAUCAUGUGGCGAAUGAAUGGAAGGGAAGCGACUGGAUAGAAGAGAAGGACUGGAUAGAAGAGCGAAAACAGUGAAAUACAACGAGAAACUGAAGUUUUAUAUGUGACUGUUUAAAAGAAGCCUUGAACAAGUUCCAAGCUGCGUACAAAAGAAGCCUUGGAACUGUCUGAAGGUGGACAUAGCGCAAAGUCAUAGAAAGCCUUAGGAUCAUAGCCUUCUACAGUUAAUAGAGUGAUUGUGCAAUUCACCAGAGAGGGGAAGGAGUCCAUAUCGCUUCGCCCAGGUUGACCAGGACUCUCUGACAGGACCUUUCUCUUUGUUAAGAGAAGUGUAAAGGAUUAUAUUCAUUGCUAGGCCUCUGACAUAGCAGAACACGUUGACGUCAGUCCCAGAACUGCUGUCAGGUAUCUCCAUAAAUUUGGUUACUAUUGCAGAGAAAAGAUUGGGCCAGUGAGAUGGUGGAGAGGCUAGUAGCAUUUUGGGACACUGUCGUUUUCUCCAAUGAGUCCAUAUUUGCCGUAUUUUCUGACAGUAGUCGAGUGUGGGUCUAGAGACUCUGUGAUCAAAACCUUGAUGUGGAAAGAUUGCAGCUAACAAUGAAACAUAGCAGCUAUUCUGUGAUGGUCUGGGUGGCAAUUUGGAGCAAUGGUCAAUCAGAGCUGGUGGAGUGUGAGGAAAACAUAAACUCAAAUAGAUAUAUGUCCUUAUUGCAGAAAUGGCUCCUUCCAAUCAUUUGAAGCGGUGAAAUGAUUAAAAACUUUUUUAUUUAUGGAAGAUGGGGCUCCUUGUCACACGGAUAAAAUGACCCAAGGUUUGUUGGAUGAGAAUGGCAUUAAAAAUCUUCCAUAGCCAACCCAGUCACCAGAUAUGAACCCUAUUGAACACAUCUAAGACAUAAGGGACAGGACAUUUCAUAAAAAGAACAAGAAAGCAUCUUCAAAGCCAGAUCUUUUGAGAUUACUGAAUGAAACUUGGCAAGAAAUUCCUCAAGAGACUCUACGUCAUCUGAUCAGUAACAUGCCUAAUAGGGUCCUUGCAUUGAAAAAUGCACAGGGCAUGUCUACUAAAUAUUAAAU